CGAAACCUGACACCACACAUUGCAGAGCCUCCUCUCCUUUCUGGAGGAGGCCUGGCUGAGCUCUGCGUCUAUCCGGCUUCCAGCCUACACUCGACUUGGCCUUCCUGCCCUGGAAUCAGGGCGCCUGGCCUCCAGCCCCUGCUGUGACCCCCAGCAGGCCCCCAGCAGGCCCCCAGAAUGCCUUCCAGGAGAGCAGUCUCCCCGUCUCUGAGCCAAGAGGCAGAACCCAGGUGCACGGCGGCUGCGGAUGGAAAAGGGGCUGGAGGCACGCCAGGGAGGGUGUGGGAGAGCCCUUAGCAAGCCACCGUGGUCCUGGGAAGAGCAGCGGCGGUUUGGACGAGGGGGGGACAGUGGGGACGUGAGAAAGCUACUGAGGAAACACCACGGAGAGGAACUGGAGGUGGUCCGGCCAUGCAGCUGAGGGGCAGAGGCGUCACAGGCCCCUGGGCCUUGCAGUCGCCCGGUGGAGGGCUCGCAGCGCAGCGAGUCUGGCUGAGAGAGUGGGCACCGGGGGCCAACCAGGGCCAGGGCGGGAGGGGGAAGGAUCGUAAGUUCGGCCUUGGACCGUGGAGGUCGAGGCGCCUGCCUGUCAGGUGUCCCGGAGAACAACUGGGCAUUCAGAGAGGAAUCAGCUGGAGAGGCACAUUUGGGGACAGAAAAACAGAGCCAUCCAAGCUGAGCUGGAGAGGACACCGCCAAGGGCGAGAGUAAGGCGUGGAGGGCCGACAGGCUGUCUGCAGCACACUGCUGCCCACGGCCAGGGAGUGGGGCCGGCGGGAGCCGCGGGAAGAACCAGCAGAGUGCUGGGCCGCGCACCACGCGCAGCAGGGCGUUUCAAGGAGCCAGGAGCAGUCGGGAGUGCGGGGAGCUCCUGGAACACUCAGAGGAGGAAGAGGGAGAGGGUACUUAGGCCUUGGGGACUGCAGGGGACACGUUCUGGUGGAGUGGGGGCCGUAGAGACCCGGCUGCGGUGGGGCGGCAGGUGCUGAGAGGCGAGGGAACAGGGCGUGUCCGGCGACUCCCAGGCUGGGGCAGCAACCGAAUGGGGUGAGACGUCAAAGAGAAGAUUCUUGUUUGGUCGCUUUUUUUAAAGGCAAAUGAGACUGGAGCACGUUUAUGAGGCGGAGUCUCAGGACAGCACCUGGGAAAGCAGGGAUGACAAGCAGAAAAAUGGGUUCCAGCCAGCAGGGGGCUUGCCCAGCCCCCCCCUCCCCAGGCAGGGCUGAGUUGGGGGCAGCGUCUGACCGUGACCUCCUGGCCCGGUGGCAUCUUCACGGCCCAUCUGCCACGCUGUUCCUGGAAGGCACCCCACCUGCCCUGUCCUGAGAGGAGAAACUGCUGUCGGAUGCUGACAUCAGGGAAGCAGAUCCCAGGGCAGCUUCUGAGGUGCAGUGGGUUCGAGGGGGCUCAGAGAGCACCUCCGACCCUGUGCACUCGGCUGGAAGGGGCGCUGCCCGUGAUGGCUCUGCAUGCCCCACGGCCAGAGUGCAGCCCCUUCGAUGGCCAAGUCCAUGCAGCCUAUGGGCCCCCCCUACUUAACCCUCGUGGUGGAGAGCAGGGACUGGAGACAGCUGCACAGGCAGGGGUGGGCGUGACUGGGGUAUUUAUACAUCUCCGGGAGGAGAGCCACGGGCCCCUGGGCCUCUCGUGGCACAGGCUCAUUGCCAGUGACAGGAAGCCUGUGACCUGCUGAUGACACCUCAAUCCCUUCAGUCUGGCCUGGCGCUACCACCUGGCACUUCCACCUGGCGCUUCCACCUGGCGCUGCUGGCCCAGGACAGUCCCAGGCAGACCAGAGGGCGGUGGUCUCGGAGGGCAGCCCCUAGACCAGGAGCCUCACCUGAAAACUCCCGAGAAACGCAAGGCCUCAGGCCCCACCCGUCACUGAAUCAGAAACUCUCGAGCGGGCCCAGCUGCGUUUAACAAACUUCGAGCUGAUCCUGAGAUGUCUCUGCCAUAAAUGUAUACACGCUUGUGUGCGAUGUAAGCCCACACACACAUGAAGCUCGUAACUCGAGUGGCAGAGGACCCUGCCGCAAAGCGGCCGUCUGUAUCAGGGGGGACAGACUUGGCCGGUGGGGCGCAGCCCCUUUCUGAGUUGGUUGGGGAGUCGGGUGGCCUCAAGCUCCAGAUUCCAUCCUGAACGAUGGGAAGCUCCUGUUCCUUUGGUUUUCCGUGAACUCUCCCCUCAAGCCUGCUGGUUGCCUCGGAAGAGCCAGGACGCGGAGAGACUGUGGUGCCCAGUGACGUGGGCACCGCCGGCCAUGCCCGGGCCCUGCCGGGAGCCCUCGUUCGUUAACGGGGUGGAUGCAAAGCCGCCUCUGCGGAGGGUGGGACUGGGGGCCACUCGCCCACGUGCGCCCUGUUCACACCUCACCCUCCUGGAGCAUAGGCCACCGCGGCCUCACACUUUCUUCACUCCGUCAUCUCCUGGUUUUCCCCGACCUCCCGGGCCAGCUGUCCUGUGGUGCUUAUUCCCCCAAAACUCUAACAAGGAGCUGAGUCACCCCGUCCAAGAGCCGCUCCUCUCCUCGAACCAGUUCUCCAUUUCCUUCUCCUCAGAGUCAUCGAUCCAGCUGCCUCUUCCCACGGCCACCUGAGCCUCCGUGGGCAUCACAACCGGCCGUGACUGAAACGAAACUCCUCUCCCUGCAGCCCCUCGAGGCCACAGUGGAAAAACCUGCUUCUCUUCUUCAGAAACGGGACUCCAUCGCCAGGGCUGCCCUGGCCGGAGGCCUCAGAGUCGUCCUCGACAGAAUGUUGCCUCCUCUCACACCCAGAGCCCACCCACCAGCACAUUCUGGGUCCCAGAGCGGCCACCUCCUCCCUGGGGAACCAGGGGACCCAUCUGGCCGGAGGACAGCAGGACAGCUCUCAGGACAGCUGAGCAGACGUCAGGACGGCACCAGGCGGUGCGCCAGUCGGGUGGGGACCCGCGGCGCACGGCUGCCCCCUGGCGGCCCUCGCCGGCCUCGCCCCGCGCCUGUCGCGCGUGAAGGGGCGCACACACACGGUCCUUUCCCCCAAAAGGCAUGACCAUUCCACUGCCCCGGGCCCGGGCCGUUGGAGGACCAGCCACGGAGGCGCUGGGGGGUGGGAUUGUGCCCGAUGAAGCGGGGCUUACUGCUCUUUUAAACGAUCGGAAAUGUGGGGGGGAGCUCUUCGUGCAAUCCUGGUAGAUUGACUGUGGGGGGUGGGGUCAUUCUCUUUGCAUACCUGCUUUUUCUCCAUUUUUCACGUUGGAUAUGCAUUACUUUGUGCUAAGAAAAAACUUCAAACUUCAUUUUUAAAGAAUUACUUGGGGCCCUGGCUGGUGUGGCUGAGUGGGUUGAGUGCCAGCCUACGUGAGAACCAAGGUUGCUGGUUGAUUCCCAGUCAGGGCACAUGCCUGGGUUGCAGACCAGGUCCCCAGUAGGGGGCGCAGUGAGAGGCAACCACACAUCAGUCUUUCCCUUUCUCCUUCCCUGCCCCUCUCUCUAAAAAAAAUUUUUUUUAAAGAAUCACAUGGGGGUCUAAUUUGUCUGUCAAGGAAUUUCUGCCAGCUUUGGGCCUAGUUUCUGGUAUCUCUUUGCAUGAAGACCGCGGGAGAAAUGGGCUCUCGGACUUAAGUGUUUGGGGUCGAUGAGCCAUCCUUCACAUAUGCUGGGACUUUCUUUAAGAAGAAAGGAAGGAAAAAUUGUCCCCAACCUCAGGAUAGAGUGGGGUAAACGCUCUAGCUGGACCAGAAACUCGUUUCCCUGUUGUCUCCAAGGACACGCGAGGAAUAUAUCAAGAACCAUUUGAAGACGGGGACUUAUUUCAGAAAGAGGCCAUCAAAAGCUGGCCAUUACUAAGCACCUACUAGGUGUCACGUGCUGGCAAUACAGCCCCAAAGCCAACGUCUGUCCCUAAGGGGCCCUGGGCUUGCCCGUGAGAAGAUCCUCAGCGCUGUGGCCCCCGGAGCCUCCUCCCCUGCCGCUGCCCGAGUCAGCGAGAAUGUCGGGAGCGGCGGCCCUGGGGGCUGAAGAGCGUCUGGCUCUUCCACUGAGGAAGCCACAGGAUCCCGGAGGGGAAAGCAGAGGCCGGGGUCCUGCAGGCUGUGCUGGGAGGCAGCCGCGUUACAAGCCCUUGAGACCCACCCACUUCACCACCUGGCUGGGCCCCCGAAGAGCUGGCGGGACUGGGAAAGUGUGAAGGUUUCUGGGCGGAGCCCCCACCCUAGGACCCCAUUUGUUCGUUCAGCCAUUCACACGCAUGUCAAAUGCCUGCCUUUGCAGGACACCUGGGAAGUGACACCUGCCCAUGGAAGGGCAAAGAGAGCACCCUGGUGUUUCCCAAACUCUCCCGAGACCCACCUCAGUCACCUGUGGGAUUUUCUCAAAAGUUGUCAGUCCACCCGAAAAGUCCCCACGUGAGCCCUGGCCCAGCCGCAGUGGAAAGCCCCUUGUCUUGUGACUUUCUAAAGCAAAUGCACCAAGAUGAAACACUGGGGGUGAAGCGUGUCUCUGCAACACGGAGAAAAUGCCAUGGGCACCGUGUGCCUCCAGGUGUGACACUCAGAGGGCCGUUACCUGGGCAGUCUUCACUCAGAGAACGCAGCCCCCAGUCUGGCUCACUCCGGGUGGCGCAGUAAGGCAGAACCCCGGUCUGAAUGUCUCUGGAAUCAGCCUCCUUUUCCAGCUCCGAGCUUUGAAGGCCGAGCCCUGCCCACUCAUACUCUAAGGAAGCCGUUCGCUCUGUCCCUGUGAGCAUCUUCCCACUAACCGUGCCUUGAGGAGUAUGAGGCCUCGGGAUUCAGGAAUGAAACCUUCACCCAGGCGCCGUUCUUGACUAGCUUGUGCAUUCCUUGCAAAUUCCCUGCAGAUGGGAACAGAGAGCCCAGUGGGCAGCACCGGGCAGAGAUGCUGGUGAGAGAAGGGGCUGGGCCUGGCCUUCACCCCCAAACCAGUCUGUGGGCAGACAGUGUGUCUUCUCAGGGGAGCUGGCCCAGGACGGUCCUGGCUGACCCCUCAGGAGGGGCAGACGCCAUGAGAACAGAGGAGGGGGUCCAGCGAGACCUGCUCUCAGAGACCCAGUGUGGGCUGCCAGUCAAAGCAGAAAGUACUGGCUGUGGAGACAGGCAGGGUGACACAGGACAGGAAAUGGGGGAUUCAGAGAAGGAGCUACUGGGCUGGGAACUGAACGGAAGGGGGUUUGCUAAACAAACCUUCCCUCUCCCCACUUGUCACAUCCUGGGCCUUCAAGGGGCCUGUGGCCUACUAUUAAGGAGGUGGACACAGCCAGGGAGGAAGGUCUUCAUUCCUGUGGGCACCCAACCCUAAGAAGCACUGUGCUGGGUCUAUGCGGUGGGGGCAGAAACGGAAUCUGAAGCCAGCCUGGCUGGAACUUAGUGUCCACUGCAAUUUACCCAUGACCCAGGGCCAAAGACUCGGCCCUCAGAAAGGUCAACAGAAGCUGAGUGUGGGACUAGAGCGCGGACACGAGGGUAGCUGGGUGAUGGGAUAGAAACACCAAGAUAAAAAUGUUUGGCGUCCUAACGUAUUUAAAGGAUCUGAGAGGAGGGAGGUGGGGUGACGAACUUCACCCUAGAAAAGGCCAGGAGUUCCGGUGUGGAUCUGAUUUGUCCCAUCCGGUUCCUUCUCUGCCAGCUAAGAGGCUGGAACCCGUUGACCCCUAGAGACUAGCCAGUCAUGGCAUUCUUAGAGGCACUACUGUUAUAAACAGUAAACAGCUCAAAUCCUGAGUGUGCAGUUAAUACAUUUUACUUGUAUAACCACUACCCAUUUUCAGCUUCCCAGAAGGUUCACUUGUGCCCUUUUCCAGUUAACAUCCCUCCUACUCCCCCCAGCACACCCCUGGGUAACCACAAUUCCAGCCUCAAAAUGCACAGAUCAGCUGUGGCAGUUCUGAAAGUUAAUAUGAAUGAAAUCAUUCGGUAUGUUCCCUGUUUGUCUUUGCUCAACAUAAUGCCUGUGAGAUUCAUCCACGUUGCCUCAUCUCUCAGGGAUGUGUUACUUCAGGUGAAGUGUAGCACCCUGACUACACAACUCACUGAUCUGUUCUCUACUGGUGGGCCCUCCAGUGGCUUCUGGUCCGGGGCCAUCCUAAGCAAAGUGGCUGUGACCCUCCUUGCAGGGUCUUUGAUGGACAUGUGGCUCUUUCACCCGGGAGUGGGGCCGCUGGCCCAGAGGUAGCUGUUGUAUUGACUUUAGUAGGUACGACCAGAAAGCUUUCCAGAGUCGAGGGGUAACUUUCACAGGUCUUGAAAUGAGUAUAUACAAGAAGUAGAGGGGGAGAGGAAAGAAACAUAUUCCUUAAACUAUUAUUCCCAAGACUGAUUUUUUCAUUAAGUUUUGAGCACCUCCUAUGAACUGGUAGCCUCAUCCACCAGCCCCUCCCAUGGGGUCUGGCCUUAAUGAACCUAAUCCUCACUCCCCGAGGGCCGCUGUGCCUUCAAGACAUGAGGGGCACCGACACCCUACGAGAGGCCCAUCACCAGCUGCUUAAUGGCUCUGAUGGACCCUCCCUGCAUUUAGCCACUCAUGGAAAGAAUUUAGGGUCAUGGUGGCUUUCACAUUUCACACCUCAGCAACUGCAUCUCAGACCUUCAGACAGAUCCGAAGGAAUCCCCUUCCAUCUGCGUUGCACAAGCAUUUGCAGUUUCUGAAGCACAACCCCGACACCAGUGCAGAAGCUCCUGCUCACCGCUCUCUGCCACCUCACAGUGCAGUCGGCCUCCCUCCCUUCCAAGUGUGCCCCACUCACACCAAAGAGGUCAACCCCUGGGAUGCACUGCAGGGGUGUCCAACCUGCAGCCCACGGGCUGCACGCAGCUCGGAUAGCUAUGAAUGUGGUCCAACACAAAAUCAUAAAUU